GACGAACGCUGGCGGCGUGCUUAACACAUGCAAGUCGAACGAGAAUCUGUGGAACGAGGAUUCGUCCAAGGGAAACAGAGGACAGUGGCGGACGGGUGAGUAACGCGUGAGGAACCUGCCUUUCAGAGGGGGACAACAGUUGGAAACGACUGCUAAUACCGCAUAACACAUAGGGGUCGCAUGGCCUUUAUGUCAAAGAUUUAUCGCUGAAAGAUGGCCUCGCGUCUGAUUAGCUAGUUGGUGAGGUAACGGCCCACCAAGGCGACGAUCAGUAGCCGGACUGAGAGGUUGAACGGCCACAUUGGGACUGAGAUACGGCCCAGACUCCUACGGGAGGCAGCAGUGGGGAAUAUUGGGCAAUGGGCGCAAGCCUGACCCAGCAACGCCGCGUGAAGGAAGAAGGCUUUCGGGUUGUAAACU
rnacentral:rRNA from 1 species